rnacentral:lncRNA from 1 species
GAUGGUUCAUCUUGCCUAGGGCGCUUAGUUAUAGGGAGAAAACAGGGUCAAGUGUCUGCCAGGGAGAUGGCUGCUUCGAUGUCCAUCAGCCGACGGCACGGGAAGCCACUUUUUGAUGGUGUUUUUGAUCCUGGAGAUGAUGACAUGCUGUUCCCUUAGCAAACUGGAGCUUAUAAAAAGUUUUUGAAUAAUUUCCCAAGAGCACUCAAAGUGUGCCGAGUCUAAAGAUGAAAACGACGCUGAGUCAUCGUACCUAGAGGAAGUGUCAGAACACUUCACAGGGAAUGGAAUUUCAGCAGAUCUUUGGCAUAGAGGAUGCCAGGUAGAGCAAAAGCGAAAGAGUGGCACCCGCCAGUGCUUAAGGAGGAUGGAAAAGGCACCACACAGAGUCAUUUGUUGGGGACUGGACCAACUCUAUCACUGGCAGGUGUUCCAAGUCCUGGGAGUUUGGAGAUGAAAUGAAUGAUUCUUCCUUGGAAGAGGACCUGUGAUCUAGACAGCUCAUUCUUUAUCUACCUUGGGAAAGCUCAUGAUCUGAGCUUGGAAGAGACUUCAAAUCCAAUCUGAAAGUUGUUGGCUACUCUCUUAACAUUCCUGCCACUAUUGAAUAAGCAUGCCUUGCCAGGCCAGCCUACUCUCACCUGGGUGAUGUGUUUGGACCCCUGGGCUGGUGCAAUGAGAUCUUAGAACGUGCACUCUGCCAAAUUGGAAGAAAAACAAGAGUUCAAAAAUGAAUCAUACUGUAGAGUAAGGGAUUACCAGCCUACAAUCCACACUGCCAGAGAAACUAGUAAACAAGGAG